rnacentral:rRNA from 1 species
UAGUCCACGCCGUAAACGAUGAGUGCUAGAUUUCGGGAAUUUAUUCUCGGUUUCGCAGCUAACGCAUUAAGCACUCCGCCUGGAGACUACGAUCGCAAGAUUAAAACUCAAAGGAAUUGACGGGGGCUCGCACAAGUGGUGGAGCAUGCGGUUUAAUUCGAUGCUACGCGAAAAACCUUACCAACCCUUGACAUGGUGGUCGCGGAUUCAGAGAUGAAUCCUUCAGUUCGGCUGGACCACACACAGGUGUUGCACGGCUGUCGUCAGCUCGUGUCGUGAGAUGUUGGGUUAAGUCCCGCAACGAGCGAAACCCUCAUCCUUAUUUGCCAGCGGAUAACGCCGGGGACUAUAAGGAAACUGCCGGUGAUAAGCCGGAGGAAGGCGGGGACGACGUCAAGUCAUCAUGGCCCUUAUGGGUUGGGCUACACGCGUGCUACGAUGGUGCUUACAGAGGGAAGCUAUACGGCAACGUAAUGCAAAUCUCAAAAAGCAUCUCAGUUCGGAUUGUU